AUUGAACGCUGGCGGCAUGCUUUACACAUGCAAGUCGAACGGUAACAGGUUAAGCUGACGAGUGGCGAACGGGUGAGUAAUGCAUCGGAACGUGCCCGAUCGUGGGGGAUAACGCAGCGAAAGCUGCGCUAAUACCGCAUACGAUCUGAGGAUGAAAGCGGGGGACCGUAAGGCCUCGCGCGAUCGGAGCGGCCGAUGUCAGAUUAGGUAGUUGGUGGGGUAAAGGCUCACCAAGCCAAUGAUCUGUAGCUGGUCUGAGAGGACGACCAGCCACACUGGGACUGAGACACGGCCCAGACUCCUACGGGAGGCAGCAGUGGGGAAUUUUGGACAAUGGGCGAAAGCCUGAUCCAGCAAUGCCGCGUGCAGGAAGAAGGCCUUCGGGUUGUAAACUGCUUUUGUACGGAGCGAAAAGGUCUCCUCUAAUACAGGGGGCUCAUGACGGUGCCGUAAGAAUAAGCACCGGCUAACUACGUGCCAGCAGCCGCCGUAA
rnacentral:rRNA from 1 species